rnacentral:rRNA from 1 species
ACGUAGGGGGCAAGCGUUAUCCGGAUUUACUGGGUGUAAAGGGAGCGUAGACGGCAAGGCAAGUCUGAUGUGAAAACCCAGGGCUUAACCCUGGGACUGCAUUGGAAACUGUCUGACUCGAGUGCCGGAGAGGUAAGCGGAAUUCCUAGUGUAGCGGUGAAAUGCGUAGAUAUUAGGAAGAACACCAGUGGCGAAGGCGGCUUACUGGACGGUAACUGACGUUGAGGCUCGAAAGCGUGGGGAGCAAACAG